rnacentral:rRNA from 1 species
UACGGGGGGUGCAAGCGUUGUCCGGAAUCAUUGGGCGUAAAGCGUUCGUAGGCGGUAUGUCAAGUCUGAUGUUAAAGCCCGGGGCUCAACUCCGGUUCGGCAUUGGAUACUGGCAAACUAGAAUGUGGUAGAGGUAAAGGGAAUUCCUGGUGUAGCGGUGAAAUGCGUAGAUAUUAGGAGGAACACCAGUGGCGAAGGCGGUCUGCUGGACAGCAACUGACGGUGAGGCGCGAAAGCGUGGGGAGCAAACAGG